GAUGAACGCUGGCGGCGUGCCUAAUACAUGCAAGUCGAGCGAACAGAUGAGGAGCUUGCUCCUCUGACGUUAGCGGCGGACGGGUGAGUAACACGUGGAUAACCUACCUAUAAGACUGGGAUAACUUCGGGAAACCGGAGCUAAUACCGGAUAAUAUAUUGAACCGCAUGGUUCAAUAGUGAAAGACAGUUUUGCUGUCACUUAUAGAUGGAUCCGCGCCGCAUUAGCUAGUUGGUAAGGUAACGGCUUACCAAGGCGACGAUGCGUAGCCGACCUGAGAGGGUGAUCGGCCACACUGGAACUGAGACACGGUCCAGACUCCUACGGGAGGCAGCAGUAGGGAAUCUUCCGCAAAGGGCGAAAGCCUGACGGAGCAACGCCGCGUGAGUGAUGAAGGUCUUCGGAUCGUAAAACUCUGUUAUUAGGGAAGAACAAAUGUGUAAGUAACUAUGCACGUCUUGACGGUACCUAAUCAGAAAGCCACGGCUAACUACGUG
rnacentral:rRNA from 1 species